rnacentral:rRNA from 1 species
GAUGAACGCUGACAGAAUGCUUAACACAUGCAAGUCGACUCGAGUCUUCGGACUUGGGUGGCGCACGGGUGAGUAGGAUGUAGCUAAUCUGCCCUUUAGUGGGGGACAACAGUUGGAAGCGACUGCUAAUACCCCAUACUCCGUCUUGACAUGUGUCAAGACGGGAAAGUCUUUUCGCUAAAGGAUGAGGCUACAGUGUAUCAGCUAGUUGGUAAGGUAAAAGCUUACCAAGGCUAUGACGCAUAACUGGUCUGAGAGGAUGAUCAGUCACAUUGGAACUGAGACACGGUCCAA